AUGGAGAGAGGUUACGGAAAGCCCGAGUCCUCUGGUUGAAGUUUUCCAACCAUUCCUGCGGAUUGCUAAAUUUGAUUCCUUCAAGGUGUACCUCUCUCAGGUAUUUCCUGGUACUGCAAUCCAAGCCUUAAAAUAUUAGCCCAACACGUCUCAUUUAAAGGUUUGGAUCAGCUUUCAUUUAGCCACCAGCUCUGGCAGACAAACAGCGCUCCUUUCACUCCCCGAUGCCAUUGGAGUGACUUGAGACGUCGUUUUAUUAUAGUCGUUUGCAUUGUAGUCCAAAAUGAUUUUCUGAAUUUGCCAAGCAUUUCUCCGUUGCUGAGUAUCAGCAGUUUGAGGCACAUUAGACGGAUUCAUAGGCUGCAGGUUUUAUGUAUGAGAGGGAGGACCGCUGAAUUCAGCUCAGCAGGGACCUCACAGUGAGAUGCUGAAAAAGUAAAGAAAGCAGCAACACAAGUUCAAAAUCUAAAUCUACUUAUUUAACUCCUGCUCCACAAAUCUGAGCAAAUGCUGACCUGCUUCUAGGUAUUUUUUCAAAUAAAGCCUUUACUCUAUUUGCUCAUUUUUAGUCAUCUGACAUAACCUGAAAUGUGACGUGUUAAUUUUUCUACUUCUUUAUGCUUGUUACAUUUUCUAAUCACACAUCUCAAGUUUCCUUAAACACAGCCCAUAUAGAUACUGAGUUUACAAAAUACUGUGGAUACAAAAUGUACUAAAUAAAUAUUAAUUGCCCUAAGUACAAUUCAGUUAGUUCAAGUAUUUGCUAAAAUCUUCACUUGUUCAUUAUAAGAUGAUGAGGUGUUCAAAGUUCUUGUAGCUAGAAGUAAUGACAAUGUUUGCCAGUAGCAAGCAAAAGAAAAUAUUCAGACCUUUGUUUGAGGAAACUGGAUUGAGAUACACUGAUAAUGGGUGUGUCUGGUUAUUUGGUUUCUGGCACUGCACCACUCUCACUUGAGCACUGGCAUCUAGAAAUCUUGACUGUGAUACAAAACACCAACAACAUGAACUGCCUCAAACCUCCUCACAUCUCCCUCUUUUUCAUCUUAAGCAAGCGUGCUGGUUGGUAGCAGCGCCGCAGUUUAUCCAGCAGAGAGCCAAGGAAAGAUGGUGGUUUCACACAGCUGUCAACUGGAAUAGAGAGACCUGCACAAGAAUCGUCGGAGACCAGGGUUGCGGUCAGAGAGACACCAUCCACGAUUACAGAAUCUUUCGUACAGUGAAGAAGUUCUUUGAGACCAGGACAGAGGCCUCCAGCUGAAUUCACAGAAACAAAAGGAUCCACCAAAGGUGAAGGUAAGAAAAUAUUUUUAUUUCUAUAAAA